UACGUAGGGUGCGAGCGUUGUCCGGAAUUAUUGGGCGUAAAGGGCUCGUAGGCGGUUUGUCGCGUCGGGAGUGAAAUCCACUGGCUUAACUGGUGGCUUGCUUUCGAUACGGGCAGACUGGAGGCAUGCAGGGAGAACGGAAUUCCUGGUGUAGCGGUGAAAUGCGCAGAAUAUCAGGAGGACACCGGUGGCGAAGGCGGAUC
rnacentral:rRNA from 1 species